rnacentral:lncRNA from 1 species
GGCAAUCUUCUCCUUCGCAACAUCCACAAGCUCAUAAAUAUAUCCCACUAUAGGUCACUAUUCAGAAUAACCCUCUCUUAAAAUGAAAACAAGAGGAAUAACUGUUUGGGCCUAAUUUGGCACACCAGUCCAAAAGAUCAAAAGCCCAUAUCAAUUUUGGACAGCCACCAGCGUUCCCUUAUAAUUGGGCCAAAAUUACACACUCAGCCCAACACUAGAGGCCCAGAAGGACGAGGCAAAAUCAGACCCAGGCAGUGUGGACUAGAAUUGGUAUCAAGGGCCCA